GGAGGGGUUCCCGAGUGGCCAAAGGGAACAGACUGUAAAUCUGUCGUCAACGACUUCGGAGGUUCGAAUCCUCCCCCCUCCA
rnacentral:tRNA from 1 species